rnacentral:lncRNA from 1 species
AGAGAGUGUCUUUCAGAUAACAGGAGGGAAAGAAAGGACUGUUUCUUCAGAGCCCAGAGGUGGGAGUAACCAAGUGAUCACAGAGACAUUCUGCUCAGUGGAGGUGGUUCUAAAAAGUAAAUUUAUUUCCCAGUGAAAGAGAUAGUCUUGAGACUAAUGUUAGAUUUCCCCUUCUUCCUGCUCUGAAGAUGACUAUAACCUGCCUUGAGCUAUGACAGACACCUGUAACUUGGAAGAUGCAAAAAAAAUGAAAACAUGGUAAAGCAGGAAGAAUAAGCCUGGAUUCUUGCUGACAUCACUGAGCUCCCUGGCCGAGAUUGUGAGGGUUUUAAACUAAGAAAACAAUACAUAUUUUUAUGGUUUAAGCCACUGUCAUUGAGGUAGUGUGUUAAUUGCUGCCAAAUCUUUCUUAACAAAC